UACGAAGGGGGGCUAGCGUUGCUCGGAAUCACUGGGCGUAAAGGGUGCGUAGGCGGGUCUUUUAAGUCAGGGGUGAAAUCCUGGAGCUCAACUCCAGAACUGCCUUUGAUACUGAAGAUCUUGAGUUCGGGAGAGGUGAGUGGAACUGCGAGUGUAGAGGUGAAAAUUCGUAGAUAUUCGCAAGAACACCAGUGGCGAAGGCGGCUCACUGGCCCGAUACUGACGCUGAGGCACGAAAGCGUGGGGGAGCAAACAGG
rnacentral:rRNA from 1 species